rnacentral:misc_RNA from 1 species
GAUGAAGAACGCAGCGAAAUGCGAUAAGUAAUGUGAAUUGCAGAAUUCAGUGAAUCAUCGAAUCUUUGAACGCACAUUGCGCCCGUCAGUAUUCUGGCGGGCAUGCCUGUUCGAGCGUCAUUACGCCCCUCAAGUCCCCUGUGGACUUGGUGUUGGGGAUCGGCGAGGCUGGUUUUCCAGCACAGCCGUUCCUUAAAUUAAUUGGCGGUCUCGCCGUGGCCCUCCUCUGCGCAGUAGUAAAACACUCGCAACAGGAGCCCGGCGCGGUCCACUGCCGUAAAACCCCCCAACUUUUUAUAGUUGACCUCGAAUCAGGUAGGACUACCCGCUGAACUUAAGCAUAUCAAUAAGCGGAGGA